rnacentral:lncRNA from 1 species
CUGACCUCAAGUGACCUGCCCGCCUCAGCCUUACAUCAGGUUUUUUAUGCCUGAUGUUAGCAUUCUUGGUAAUUUUAAGAUGAUAAUCUUAGUGAUAAAUUUUAGUAUCCAGGUUAUUUACUGCAGAACAGUAAAGUACGCUGUUUGUUAUCCUAAGUUGACAGGUAUUUUUUUAGUUUUUUAUGUUGGUUCAAGUAAGCUGCCCUUAUUUGCAGUAGAAUAUUUUGAGUUGGUUUGCAUGAAGUUCAUCAGGGAAUUGUUUUUGACUCUUAUUUAAAGGUAGAAUUUAUUUUUGUCAGCAAGUUGACUAUAAACUGUAUUAGUGAUUUACGUAUAGGCUUGGGCCUGUUGACCUCUGUUUUUACAGUAUGAUGUGGGUACUGACAUUUUUACUCUUUUAUCUGGACAGGGUGGACCAAGUAAGCUAGUGCAAAAACACUUAGCUGGUUUGUUUAACAGCAUCACAUCUUUUUACCAUCCUUCAAAUAAUGGGCGCUGGCUGAACAAGUUAAUGAAACUACUUCAGCGGUUGCCAAACAGUGUUGUU